rnacentral:rRNA from 1 species
AGGACGAACGCUGGCGGCGUGCUUAACACAUGCAAGUCGAGCGGUAAGGCCCUUUCGGGGGUACACGAGCGGCGAACGGGUGAGUAACACGUGGGUGACCUGCCCUUAGCUCUGGGAUAAGCCUGGGAAACUGGGUCUAAUACCGGAUAUGACCUCGCGAUGCAUGUCGUGGGGUGGAAAGCCUUGUGCGGCUAGGGAUGGGCCCGCGGCCUAUCAGCUUGUUGGUGGGGUGAUGGCCUACCAAGGCGACGACGGGUAGCCGGCCUGAGAGGGCGACCGGCCACACUGGGACUGAGACACGGCCCAGACUCCUACGGGAGGCAGCAGUGGGGGAAUCUUGCGCAAUGGGCGAAAGCCUGACGCAGCGACGCCGCGUGAGGGAUGACGGCCUUCGGGUUGUAAACCUCUUUCAGCCCUGACGAAGCGAAAGUGACGGUAGGGCAGAAGAAGCACCGGCAACUACGUGCCAGCAGCCGCGGUAA